UGGAGUCAAGGUUGUUCCCCAAGUAAGUCUAAUACACUCAUGUUUCCUAUUUAGUACUUUCAAAAUACUGAAUGAGGCAUCCCUGCGUCAAUAUUAUUGCUUUAUCCUACAAAUUGACUUCCCCAUGAAUCUAAAAAUUAGUAUGACAAUCAUAGCUUUAUAUGCUUCUUAGAUGCUUAAUGAUGAAGCAUGAGUUGCCUAGGCUGCACAAUCAGUCAAAAGGACAUAUUCCCAACAGAUAAUACAAGAAAUGGUUUAUUCAUUGAUACAUUGUAUAGCAAUUACUACUUUCAUGCGAUUGCAAGAAACAGAAAUAGGGUGUUAAGCAUGGAAAUAGAAGGCCUCUAUAGAUCAAAUAUUUUGAUUUUAAGAUAGUUGUUGAUGUUUGCCUUGUGAUUUUCUUGGAGUGGCUAACUAACUAAUUGCAUG
rnacentral:misc_RNA from 1 species